rnacentral:rRNA from 1 species
UACGUAGGGGGCUAGCGUUGCCCGGAAUUACUGGGCGUAAAGCGCACGUAGGCGGCUUUCUAAGUCGGGGGUGAAAUCCUGGAGCUCAACUCCAGAACUGCCUUCGAUACUGGAAAGCUCGAGUCCGGGAGAGGUGAGUGGAACUGCGAGUGUAGAGGUGAAAUUCGUAGAUAUUCGCAAGAACACCAGUGGCGAAGGCGGCUCACUGGCCCGGUACUGACGCUGAGGUGCGAAAGCUAGGGGAGCGAACGGG